UGUAUAAGUGUGCCUGAAUGUAUUUCUGCAUCACAUGCAUGCAGUGUCCAUGGAAGCCAGACGAUGGUGUCAGAUCCCUCACAACUCUAGUUGUGAGCCACAGGGUGGGUACUGAAACUUGAACCUGGGUCCUCAGGAAGAGUAUCCAGUGCUCUUAACCUCUAAGCCAUCCCACCACCCCUGAGAAGUGGAUUUUUGACCUGAGUCCAUUUCAUAAUAGGCCCAUUGAAUCCAGAAAGCCAUCUGUGUUACCUUCUUGGCUCCCGAAUACACAGCUGAGCCGAAAUAUUCACUCUUGGUGAAUUCCUAGAGAACUGACCACAUGGAAAGACCUGGAGCUGCCAUCCCUGUAGCAUGGAAAACAUUUUGGGUGACUUGGGAAUGUGAGUGCCAUCUUCAAAGGCCUGCAAGAUGCAGGGCUGGUGAAUCCCUCUCCUCUCCUUGUGGAGACAGAUGGUCAUUAGGGAAUGACAGUCCAUGGAGUUUUGUAACCAUAGCUAUUCUUCAAGAGAUGGCCUUUGAGCUGGAGCAAACGCCUGUCGCCUGCCACACACCUUUCAUUCUGCCUGAUAUGUGUUCUGGGCUCACAUGACCACGAAACAGCAGAAGCACACGGUGCUAAGAGCAACACUGCUCCCCCUCAGCAGUCUCCAGUACUUGAUUGGAAACCCCAAAAUUGCAUUUCCUGGGUUCUUUUUACAGCUGGGAUUCUGGAGAUGGGUCAAAAUACUAUCACAUUCAAGGGCUGGCAGACAGCAUGGGGGACCAGGUCUGGAUGUCUGUUUUCAUCUACAAACAGCAGCCCUUAUUUAGUUCUACUAAACGACAGAAUUAUGAUGACUUAUUUACAGACCUUAAUUAAUUUGGUUUUCCAUUGCAGAAUUUGGCAAUGCUUCUUGCCAUGAAAUAGAUUGAGUUUGCCAAUAGGCAGAGCCGAGGAGGCUGCUCGUGUAACUGGAAUGGGGCCGAAGGGAGCCGAAGCAGAACACAAGUCACUGGCAGUGUUCUGGCUUUCUGAGCUGACUCCUGACUGUGGCAUACCUGGAUUCCGUGUUCCAAUAAUUGACAUUUAAGUAACGCUGAGUUCUUCAUCUACAACAGGUGAAAUGUCACGUCUUGUUCCCAGCCUCUGAAGAUUCAAUUACGUGGACCAUUUUCCAGCAAUGCUGAGGCCGCGCAAACUGCUUGAAGGGAGCUGCUGAGGUAUCCCUGCCAUCAUAAACAGGAACCCAGCUGUUUGAACGAUGGAGCUUUGUUUAGUUUAAAGCAUUUGAAAAUGUGGUUGUUCAUGGUGCCAUGGCGAACCUCCUGUGUGGAAAAUGCAGGAUACUUCUGAGCCACGCACGCACGUGUCAAGACUUGCAGGUGGGCCCAGGUUUGGGCCAGCUGGGACUUUUCCAGGCCUGUGUUCUGUCACUCAGGGAAGGUGACUAGAAAGGAAGCGUGUGCAUUGGUGAUUCAGCCUUUGACUGAUGCUGUGACACUUUACAGUACUCCAUAAAUGCCACCUCCCUCCUCCCAAAUCAAAGUCACAUUUCUACUC